UACAGCAAAUUAGUUUUCUUUGAUAUCAUUUUCGUCCGACGGACUGACUAUGAUGAGCGUUACUGUCCGGUGAGCCAAUCUACAGUCUUGAUUGCUAAUACAGUUAGAUGUCUAAAUGCUUCCAAAUCAUGUAAAAGAUUAUAGUUUUUUCUAUUUCUAUUACGUAGCUCCAGUUUGUUAAUUAUGGAUUCGAAAUUAAUUCGAGGAUUCCUAAUUAACCUAGAUUUUUAAUUGGGUGCUUGUAGGAUUGUUAAAUUUGAUCAGCGUUGUGCCUUCAGUAGCUAAAAUUUCGAAUAGUUAUCGCUUUCGAUGGAGGUAAGUCGCUUUUAAUUUCGUUAAUUUAAUCUAUGAUUUUAAAUUGCCCUGUUGCUUGGUUAAUCUUGAUGAACAGACACUUAUUGUUGACAUCGUGUUCUAUAUAUGUUGUGCACCAAUGGGUUCUAUGAUCUUACUGCAGAUUUCAUCUGGAUUCUGUUGUAAAUUAAUCAUUUACAAUUUUCUUGAACAUGAAUCUCUUGAUUUUAUUGAACAUGGAUCUCUUGAUUUUGUAAUUCUAAAACUUUUGUCUAGAAGAUUUACAAAGAUCAAGGAGCAUUAGCGCAUUUACUCCUUAAAAACUAAAGACGUUGUUUUUGAAAAUUUUUGUAUAGUUUUUAGUGGAAAACCCAUAUCAGUGGUCCAUGGAUGUUCUCUAAAGUAUAAUGUGUUCCAUUAUUCCAAGUGGUUAUCCUAUUUUGGUUGAUAAAGAAUUUGUUAUUUCAAGAAAUUUCUAUAUAACUUUAAUAAGUAAUAACACAGUAAAACGUUUUUUUCUCUUCUUUUAUAAAUGGAUUUUGUGAUUUCAUUCUUGCAAUUGGCUAUAUAUAGUAUACUGUAGUCAAUUGAAACAAGUAGUUGAGAACAAAAAAUAUGUAUACAUGGGAGUUCAUAGAAAAUGCUGUAUUGAGAUCCACAUCUUGUUUUCAAAAUCUGCAAUGAUGUAGCUUAUCCAAAAGAUUCUAUCGAAUUCUUGUUGAAAACUUAGGUGGUGUUUGUUUUUUAAGAUGUAAAGUGUCUGCAGUCUGCAAACCACAUCUGCAGAAAAAGAGGCGGACCAAACAUUUGCAGUCUGCAAGAAGAUGACUGUUUGUUUUUUAUGGCCUGCAGUCUGCGGACCACAUCUGCAAAAGAAGAGGUGGACCAAAAGUCUACCGUCUGCAAGAAGAAGACUGUUUGUUUUUUAAGGUCUGUAGACUGGAGUCUGCAGACCACAUCUGCAGAAGAAGAGGUGGACCAAAUUUUUGCAAUCUGCAAGAAGAAGACUAUUUGUUUUUUAAGGUCUUUAGACCGGAGUCUGCGGACCACAUCUGCAGAAGAAGAGGUGGACCAAACGUCUGCAGUCUGCAAGAAGAAGACUGCUUGUUUUUUAAGAUCUGCAGACUGCUAAUUUAAUUUGCAAUUUAAAUACAUUGGUUUUGUAAACUUAAAAGAGUUUUUCAACACUGAAAUUAAAGUCGUCACAUUGUACAUUCUAUGGAAGUUGCAAUCUCCAUAUAUGUAUAAUCCUAUGGCACAUUUCCUUUAGUUUAACAAGUCGCCUCAGUGUAGUGUAGCUUGUCAUAAUUGCAGCAUUCAUGAAGGAUUUUGAGUACUAUAUAACUAUUAAUGAGUUGACUCGUAUCACUCGAAUCUUAUUUGAAACAAAGGAUAACUAUCCUCUUGUUUUCAAUGAUCUAUUCAAUGCUUAGCGGUGAGUAAUAACUCGAUAGCCAGCUCACUUGACACGUCAUAGUGCUAUAAAGGUAAACAAAAAGGGUAUUCCUCGUUUCCUCUAUACACAUCCCCAAUCCCAAAAUCAAAAACUGAAACCAAUUCUCUUGAAUUAGGGCUCCAUAUCUCAAAAAUGGUGAAGAGAAAACCAAAG
rnacentral:lncRNA from 1 species